rnacentral:rRNA from 1 species
UGGCUCAAACGAACGCUGGGGCGUGGAUAGCAUGCAGUCGACGGCGAAGAGGGGGAACCCUCGAGUAAGUGGCGACGGGUGAGUACGCGUGAAGAACUGCCUUCGACAGGGGGAUACACUCCCAACGGGGUGCUAAUACCGCAUAUGACCACGGAUUCGCAUGGAUCCGAGGUAAAAGGUGGCCUCUAUUUAUAAGCUACCGGUCGAAGAUGGCUUCGCGUCCCAUUAGCUUGUUGGUGGUGUAACGGACCACCAAGGCAACGAUGGGUAGCUGGUCUGAGAGGAUGGUCAGCCACACUGGGACUGAGAUACGGCCCAGACUCCUACGGGAGGCAGCAGUCGAGAGGCUUCGGCAAUGGGGGAAACCCUGACCGAGCGACGCCGCGUGAGGGAUGAAGGCUUUCGGGUUGUAAACCUCUUUUGUCGGGGAAGAAACGCGAUCAGGUAAAUAAUCUGGUCAUUUGACGGUACCCGGCGAAUAAGCUCCGGCUAACUCCGUGCCAGCAGCCGCGGUAACACGGGGGGAGCAAGCGUUGUUCGGAUUCACUGGGUAUAAAGGGCGUGUAGGCUGCACGGUAAGUGAGAUGUGAAAUCCCUCGGCUCACCCGAGGACGUGCAUCUCAAACUGCCGCGCUUGAGUACGGGAGAGGAUGUGGGAAUUCCUGGUGUAGCGGUGAAAUGCGUAGAUAUCAGGAGGAACACCGGUGGCGAAGGCGCACAACUGGCCCGAUACUGACGCUGAGGCGCGAAAGCUAGGGUAGCAAACGGGAUUAGAUACCCCGGUAGUCCUAGCCCUAAACGAUGAAUGCUUGGUGUGGCUGAUCUUGAUCCCGUCGGUGCCGGCGCUAACGCAGUAAGUGCCCCGCCUGGGGAGUACGGUCGCAAGGCUGAAACUCAAAGAAAUUGACGGGGGCCCGCACAAGCGGUGGAACAUGUGGGUUAAUUCGACGCAACGCGAAGAACCUUACCUGGGUUUGACAUGUGCUGGACCGGUGGUGAAAGCCAUCUUCUCUUCGGAGCCGGUGCACAGGUGCUGCAUGGCUGUCGUCAGCUCGUGUCGUGAGAUGUUGGGUUAAGUCCCGCAACGAGCGCAACCCUCGCCCUCUGUUGCCAACGGGUUAUGCCGUGCACUCUGAGGGGACUGCCCCGGUUAACGGGGAGGAAGGUGGGGAUGACGUCAAGUCCUCAUGGCCUUUAUGUCCAGGGCUACACACGUGCUACAAUGGUUAGGGCAAUGGGUUGCUCCCUCGUGAGGGGUUGCUAAUCCCAAAAACCUAGCCCUAGUUCGGAUGGUCGGCUGCAACUCGCCGAUCUGAAGCUGGAAUCGCUAGUAAUCGGAGAUCAGCACGCUCCGGUGAAUACGUUCACGGGCCUUGUACACACCCGC